GCUGGGCGAGGUGGCGCGCGCCUGUAAUCCCUGCAGCUGGGGAGGCUGAGACAGGAGGAUUGUGAGUUCAAAGCUAGCCUCAGCAAAAGCGGGGCACUAAGCAACUCAGUGAGACCCUGUCUCUA
rnacentral:sRNA from 1 species